rnacentral:rRNA from 1 species
CACGUAGGGCGCGAGCGUUGUCCGGAAUUAUUGGGCGUAAAGAGCUCGUAGGCGGUCUGUCACGUCGGGAGUGAAAACUCGGGGCUUAACCCCGAGCCUGCUUCCGAUACGGGCAGACUAGAGGUAUGCAGGGGAGAAUGGAAUUCCUGGUGUAGCGGUGAAAUGCGCAGAUAUCAGGAGGAACACCGGUGGCGAAGGCGGAUCUCUGGGCCAUUACUGACGCUGAGGAGCGAAAGCGUGGGGAGCAAACAGG